UAUCAUGAAUCUUCAUCACAGAUCGAUGUUUGGAUAUUAAUUUUUAUAUGAAUAAUUAUUUACGUAAAAAUAAUACGAAUUUAUUAUUUACGCGUUUCCAUUAUUUAAUAAGACACGGGAAUUGUGAUUGUGAUUGUUAUAAUUUCUUUUCGUGUUUUGUCUCUACCUACUUGAUUAUAAAUAUGAAACGGACAGCUACUCAAUCGUUAGUACUUAUAACAUUAGAAGUUUAUUAUUGCCUACUUGCGAUUUAUAACACCUAACGAACAUCGUCAAAAUGACGAACAAGAGAGGAGUGUAAAAAAGUCAAUACUAAGGGAGAAGAAACGACAAACAAUUAAUUAUUUUCGUGGUCGUCUAUAUGGUACAAAACCAUGUCGCAACUGUCAAAUUUCAAACUAUAAAUGGAAUAAACGACCUAGAAGUCUCGUGGAAUGAGUUAGUUAUACACAUCAACGAUAUUCGGAAUUCUGGUGCAAAGGAAAAAAAUAUAAAAUCCUAGAAAGAGUCAUGAAAUAUGUUCUGCUAUAGUCUAUUGAUCCUAUGAAAUCAAUCAAUUCAGAUGAUACUUGUUCAGUUAUACACAUCCAAGUUGAGUUGCCAUAGUCUAUUGGUCCUAUGAAAUUAACCAAUUCAGAUGAUACUAAUUGUUCAGUUAUACACAGCCAAGUUAAGUUGCCAUAGUCUAUUGGUCUUAUGAAAUCGACCAGCUCAGAUGAUAUCUGUCAAUUUAUACACAGUCGAGUUGAGCUUGUAUCUAUAAUAAAUCAUUCCUUUAGAAAAUGCAAAGGCUAUCUAAAAUAAAUCAAUUUUACUCAGCAAAAACACAUGACACCACGAAAACAAUUUUUAUAAAAGACAGUAGUGAAUCUGAAAAAACCGUUAUCCAUUGUAAAAAAGCAACAUUCAAUAACUGAACAUAAGGGUUCAGUUACCGCCCAGGUGUUCAGUCAGAGAGUUUAGCUUUUACUCUCUGAAUGGUCUAUUUAUGUGUGGCAACGAUAAAGGAAGCUCCAGGCACUGCAAAACUGUGUAUUUGUGAAUUAAAUUAUUUUACAGUGUUAAUAAUAGUUCCACAAUUAUUCAGCCUGGGAAAGAAUUGCGUAAUUCUGUGAUGUCCACAUCAAUGCUUUGGCAAUUCUGGAAGGAAACUCUGUUGGUUUUAGAAUGUGGUGAAUAUGAAUUUUGCAACCAGUAAAGUUCCAACCAUAAAAACCUGGAUAUCCACAAUAAAAUGUUUUGAAUAUUUAUGUAAAAAACUUUUAAAUAACGGUUCUAAAUUUGUAUCACUGCGCUCGUUUAAUCAAGACCCAGUGGAAAAUAUUUUUUUAUCUGUUAGGUCCGCAGUCAUGGUUUACGAAAUACAAUCGCAACUUAUUUCCAUUUUAAAAAUUUAUUUAAAUAACUUAUCAUCAAUAAUUUGAUUUCUUCUCAAUCUGUUGGUGCAAACUGUCAAAAAUAUAAUUGUGAUAAU